AGAAUAUGUAGAAUUAGUUGUUGGUAUUUCCAUUUUCCUGCUGUUUAAUCACUAUUUCCUUCUUAUAAAUGGCAGUCUGUUUGAAAAGCAUGGAUAAUAUCGUUUUAUUGUCGAGCCUGGGACUUCUGUCACAGAAAGCUGAACAUAGGGAUACUGAUCCGGUGCAUCAGCGUCAUGGAUAAUAUUAAAGCUUUAUAUUUUAGAAAGAAGCAG
rnacentral:lncRNA from 1 species